UAAGGGUCGCGAGCCCCCCCCCUUUUUUCUUUACAUUUCUAAGAAUUGUUGUUACAUUUUAUUUUAUUUUAUUUUUUUUUUUUUUUAAAUUUUUUUUUCAACAUUUAUUUAUUUUUGGGACAGAGAGAGACAGAGCAUGAACGGGGGAGGGGCAGAGAGAGAGGGAGACACAGAAUCGGAAACAGGCUCCAGGCUCUGAGCCAUCAGCCCAGAGCCCGACGCCGGGCUCAAACUCCCGGACCGCGAGAUCGUGACCUGGCUGAAGUCGGACGCUCAACCGACUGCGCCACCCAGGCGCCCCACAUUUUAAAUAAUUAUAAAAAGUCAAAAGAAAAAUGCUAUUUGGUGACAUGUGAAACUUACACAGAUUAACAUUUUAGGGUCUGUGUAUAAACAAGUUUUAUUGGAACGCAGCCGUUUCUGUUGUUUUCUUGCUGUCUACAGCUGCUUUUGUACUCCCGUGGCUGAGUUGAGUCAUUGUGAUAGAGAUCGUGUGGCCGGCAAAGCCUCAAGUAUUUACUGUCUGGCCUUUUACAGGAAGAGCCUGCUGUCCUCUGCUCUACCGCGUCCUGUGGAAGAAGACAAAAGGGGGGCAUCGCCACUGACUACAGAGAGCAGGGCGUCCAGUCUCCGUCUUGCAGGAGGAGCUGGGCCAGGCUGAAGGGAACAUUGGCCUCUUUCCUGUUGAUGAUACACAGCAGGCCCAUCCUCCAGAGAUGCCACCCGGGAGAGCCCAGCGGGGGCAGCUCUGAGGUGGCCGGCAUGGCCCAGCACAUGGCCAACGCAGGGAAUCAGGUGCCUGGGGACUCAGGGGCCGCCUUAAGUCUAUGUGAAAGAAAUUAUAACGGGAUGCUUGUGGAUGAAGAUGGGCUUAUCUCUCGUCUACAAAGCUGGGGUUUUCCACCAAGGUAAGUAAAGACAUUCCCCUGUUGAGACACAGACACAGGUGCUAAGGGAGACUCACCUUUUCUGUAUCUCUAGUUGUUCUGGGGGAGCUCCAGGGACCAGUCUUGUCUGGCUCCCCAUCUCGCCGGGCCUCAUAGUCCCAAACUGGUUUACUUCACCGGGAUUUUGUGAGCUCAAGUGAGAUCCUGGGUUCGAACGUUAUCUCUAACCUUAAAUGUGCUCAUGUUGCCAAUAACAGUCCACAACAAUGCCAGUGAUCACCAAUGUCUGUCUUGGUGUUUAUCUGGACAGUGUGGGUUGGCAGCCGUCCACGAGGAAACACCUUCCCUUUUCCUUCUUCUCGCUGGCGUUCUUUGCGUUCCUUUGAUCUGUGCAGUGGACACUGUCCGAUACCUUUUGGAUAGUCUCGCUACCUCUUAAUUAUUUUGAACAUUAUGACUUCCGCCUUUGCAUGGAAGAACCCAGAAAAUUUGCAUCCCGAGGAUUGCUUUGAGCCAGGAUAACGGAAGAGGACCUAGGCCCCUGUAGUUAGGUGAACUUCUCUGAGACUUGGAAUCAGAAAUAUGAGGUCCUUGUCCAGAAAGCGUGGAGCUAUUUGGUUGUUUGGGGGCAGCAGUGGUGGAAUUUCUGGCUGCUAGUUGUGGUCGUGGUAACUGCUACAUAGUGAUGUUUAUUAGAGAAUCCUCACAGGGGUGUUUGGACUCGGCAGAGUCAGAUUCCAUUUUUACUCUUCUCAAAGAUAUUCUGAGUUAUUGGGUACGUUUCAUAUGUUCCUUUCCUGCUUACAUUAGGCAGGCUGUUUGCAGCUAAAAAUCCUUCCCAGUGUUGGAAUUGCAUGUGGAGUGGGUUCCAAAAGUUGCAGAACCUAUGCUGUGUAUAGAAGGGGCUUAGCGGAGGUGGUCAGGCAUCAGGAGGCAAGGAUUCACCCAAGGUCAGCUAGAGACAGGAUGGCCUCGUGUUCCUGUUGGCAAACCCACCUCAGCUGCGCCCUACACGGCUAACCUUUGCCAGCUCAUCCUUGGGACACUGACCUCUGCCAGUGGAAGCGGCAGGGUUGAGGGCAGUAGUUUGGGCGUCUCCUUUGUCGCUUUGACUCCUGCUGAUACCCUUGCCCUCAGGGUCUUUGCUUCUAUCCCUUCAUGGAGGCUAGUUGUGAGAUCAAUAAUGAUUUUAGCUUUUCACAAGUAGAUGUUACAGUGUUUGAAAAUGUGUGGAAAGGUAAAGACUAAUGGUGGAAACAAGUGACAGAGGGAGGCAUAAAGAUGGAGAGAGAGAGAGAGGGAGAGAGAAAAUGACAAAUAAGAAAGAGAGGGAGAGACAAAGACGCAAAAAGUGAGAGAGAUGGAAAAAGGGCCCUAUCUAUGUCAGGAAUAGUCCCUGGUGAGUUAGCUUCUGUGGUAACCAGCCUCUGUGACGGCCUCAAUGAGCCCCGUUUCUGGUUUUUCACUCCCCAUGUAGUUCUUUUUCACGUUGUAUCUUGCUGGCCUGUGUGACAAAUAGAGGAUGGUGGAGGUCACAGCGGUGAUUCCCAAGGCUAGGUCAUAGAAUACAUUGUCGCUUCUGCCUUGGCCUCUUGGAUGGUUCUCUCUGCAGGAAGCCAGCCGCCAUGUUGGAAGGACACUAACACGGCUCCGUGGAGAGCCCGCAUGAAGAGGAACCAACUUGGCAGUUGCGACUUGCUGGCCCCGGGAGCGAGCCUCCUGGGAAGUGAGUCUUGUGGCCUCAGUCCAUCACUGAGAUGGCUGGACACCAGCUGGUACCUGGCAGCAAUCACCUGAGAGAGCCUGAGCCGGAGGCGCCCCAUCAGGCCGCGCUUGCUCCUUGAUCUGCAGAGCUGAGGGAGCUAAUGAGUGAUUACUGUUGUUUUGAGCCAUUGGAUGUCAGGUUAUUUGCCACGCAGCACUAGAUACUCAAUAUAGUUCCCUUGCUGCCCUUCCUUUUGGUAAAAAUGCUCCGGAGUCUGAGGUAGGGACAGACAAUGGGCGUGUUCGGGAACCUCUCAUCUUCUUCCAUGGGUGUUAUUGUUCUGCUUCGUAGACUCACUCAUUCGUCACUUAGUAGAAAUUCCUCUUGGGCUCUAGUAGAUAACGGAACAUUAUUUCUGUUUCUCAGUAUUAUUGCACCUUUAAUUCUCCUGGGUCUAUUUUCGUAAGCAUUUCAAUGGGAAGGUGGAUAAGGAUGAAUCCCAAGCUGUUAUCUUGCUGUUCUCUUAGCCAGGGAAUCAAAAAUCUAUAACUGCUUCUACGGUUUUGCUUUUGCAUUCCCUCACUGCACAUUUUUGAGCACAUAUUUCCAAACCAUUUUUUCUUGCUCGUUUCUUCAUUUAUUUAUUAGUCACAUGUACCAUUGGAUUGUUUUAUCAUAUGUUAGAAAGCCUACGUAAAAUAUGCGUUUAGAAAAGAUGAGAGAAAAACACAUAGAAAUUCUAAUAUUUUCUUUUUUCUGCUUAAAUGGUUGUCUUGGGCACCGCUGGUCAAUGUGUCCCUUCUCCCACUUUGGACACCACUGGUCUCCCAUACGGUUCAAGAUUAUAGGGUUCCUGCUUCAUUCAGGCUUCUUUUUAAAAAAAUUUUUAAACAUUUUUAUUUAUUUUUGAGAGACAGAGUGUGAGCGGGGGUGGGGCAGAGAGAGAGGGAGACACAGACUCCGAAGCAGGCUCCAGGCUCUGAGCUGUCAGCACGGAGCCCGAGGUGGGGCUCAAACUCACGGACCGCGAGAUCAUGACCUGAGCUGAAGUCGGAUGCUCAACUGACUGAUCCACCCAGGCGCCCCCAUUCAUGCUUCUUAAAAGAAAGAAUAAUAAAUGAAUGAAUGCAUGAAUGGACGAAUACGUA
rnacentral:lncRNA from 1 species